GAUGAAGAACGUAGCGAAAGGCGAUACGUAAUGUGAAUUGCAAAUUCAGUGAAUCAUCGAGUCUUUGAACGCACAUUGCGCCCCCUGGUAUUCCGGGGGGCAUGCCUGUCCGAGCGUCAUUGCUGCCCUCAAGCACGGCUUGUGUGUUGGGCCCCGUCCUCCGAUUCCGGGGGACGGGCCCGAAAGGCAGCGGCGGCACCGCGUCCGGUCCUCGAGCGUAUGGGGCUUUGUCACCCGCUCUGUAGGCCCGGCCGGCGCUUGCCGAUCAACCCAAAUUUUUAUCCAGGUUGACCUCGGAUCAGGUAGGGAUACCCGCUGAACUUAAGCAUAUCAAUAAGCGGAGGA
rnacentral:misc_RNA from 1 species